rnacentral:rRNA from 1 species
GACAGUUCGGUCCCUAUCUGCAAUGGGCGUUGGAGAUUUGAGAGGGGCUGCUCCUAGUACGAGAGGACCGGAGUGGACGAACCUCUGGUGUUCCGGUUGUCACGCCAGUGGCAUUGCCGGGUAGCUAUGUUCGGAAGCGAUAACCGCUGAAAGCAUCUAAGCGGGAAGCGCGCCUCAAGAUGAGAUCUCCCGGGGCACAAGCCCCCUGAAGGAACCAUGUAGACUACGUGGUUGAUAGGUCAGGUGUGUAAGUACAGCAAUGUAUUGAGCUAACUGAUACUAAUGAUCCGUGCGGCUUGACCAUAUAACCUCA